AGAUACUCAUUUUUUAAACCUUCAUGAAGAUGAUGGCGAAGGAAAAUCAACGCUUUUGUGAGAUCCUGGAGGGAUGCUUAAUUUCCUUCUUUGAUCGUAGCUUUAAGAUUCAUUGCAUGAAGAUGUGUUUCAGCAUCAAUGAUCUAAGAUAGAUAGUUCUUUCUGAAAUGUCGAGUGCCACAAUUUCAAGUUUUAUGAGAUUUGACAUUGUCGUAGAACUUCAAAUAAAUAAUAUUAUUAUAAUUAGUUACAAUAAAUUUAUAGUAUUGGUAUAACUUUUGAUUAUAAUCAAAAUCAC
rnacentral:lncRNA from 1 species